UCUGCUUUUCUAAUAUAUUUAACUGAACAGUAAAUCAAUUGUUUUUGUAUUUUCAUUUAGGCAAAGAAGAGAUAAAAGCAGCUGGUCUGACAUCUUCCACAGAGGUGAAGCAGGUCAGGCUGGGGUCACAUAGUUUGAAGGAACCUCCUCCUUCUUUCACCUGUGCCAGAUGCCCUGCUCAUCCACUGUGGUAGAAAUGACCUUACACCAGCAGCUCUCCCAGAUGAAGAGUCCUCUCUGCCAUCACCCAGAGGAGCUGACCGACGUCUGCACAACUGAAGAAGGUGGACAGAGUCUGGAGCUUUGUGACAGUGAACAGUGAGAAGGCUACCAUAGUCAUCCUCAGAUAAAACACAGAGAUCCUGGUCAAUAUUCAAUGGUGCUAUUUUUCUUUCCAUGAUGUUGCCAUGUGUU